rnacentral:rRNA from 1 species
AUGCCUCAGAUUGGUAUGAAAUUCAAUUCCACAAAAGAGGCUUGGAACUUUUGGACAUGUUAUGGAGGUCAUAUUGGUUUUGAUGUAAGGAUAAAUUAUGAAAACAAGAGCAAACUCGAUGGAGUAAUCACCUCAGCAAGAUAUGUUUGUUCCAAUGAGGGCUACAGAAGAAAAGACAAAAGGGAUAAUAAUACAAAGCGUCCUCGUGCAGAAACAAGGACCGGCUGCAAUGUUCGAAUGGGAAUUACUAUAGACCGAGAAGCACGAAAUUAUGAGGUGCAUGAGUUAGUUGUUGAACACAACCAUGUCUUGCAAUUACCUGGGACAAGCCACUUGAUGCCAUCACAGAGGAAGAUUUCAGCCUUGCAAGCAUUUGAAAUUGAAACAGCAGAUGAUUCAGGAAUUGUACCGAGAAAAUCCCAUGAGUUAGCAAGUCGCCAAGUUGGCGGUCCACUGAACCUUGGCUACACAUGUCGUGAUCGCAAGAACCACUUGAGAACCAGGCGACAAAGGGACUUGAUGUAUGGUGAAGCUGGAAGUAUGCUCAAGUAUUUUAGAGAUAAAAAGAAUGAGAAUCCUGCAUUUGAAUAUGACAUGCAACUAGAUUGCGAUGAAAAUAUAGCAAAUAUCUUUUGGGCUGAUGCAAGGAUGAUAAUUGACUAUGCUCAUUUCGGUGAUGUUGUUACCUUCGAUACAACAUUUGGGACAAACAAAGAGUACAGACCCUUCGGUGUGUUUGUUGGUUUCAACCAUUUCAGAGAAAUGGUCAUUUUUGGUGCUGCACUUUUAUAUGAUGAGACAUUUGAAUCAUUCAAAUGGUUGUUCAACACGUUCCUAUCAGUGCAUAACAAAAAGCAACCAAGAACAAUCUUUACUGAUCAAGAUGUAGCAAUGGGUAAUGCAAUUCAGGCAGUAUUUACCGAAGCAUGGCAUGGAUUGUGCACUUUUCACAUAAUGCAAAAUGCCAUCAGGCACUUACCUCAUAAGAAAAAAGACGAGGAUGGACCAAAUGUAGUUGCUGAUUUCAGUGCUUGCAUGUACAAGUAUGAGGAAGAGGAAGCCUUUGAAGACGCUUUCAAUGCCAUAAGAAGCAAUGUGGAAACACAAACUUGGUUGGACAGCAUCUACAAAGUAAAAGAGAAAUGGGCAAGAUGUUACAUGAGAAAUGCUUACACUAUAGGCAUGAGAAGCACACAAUUAAGUGAGAGCUUGAACAGUGACUUGAAAGACCAUCUAAAGUCUGGUCUUGACAUCCUUCGGUUUUUCAAGCACAUAGAGAGGGUUGUGCAAGGAAAAAGAGAUAACGAGGUAAAUGAGGAAUAUGAGUCUAGGAAAAAAUUACCUAGAGUCAGAAUGAGGACUCCUAUGGUAAUACAAGCAAGCAAAGUUUACACGCCACACAUAUUUGAAGAUUUUCAGAAUGAAUAUGAAAGAUCCAUCUCAGCAUACAUCAAGCCAUCGGUACAACACAAUGUUUAUACUAUUGCGAUUGCAAGUCUUGACCAAGAAUUUUCAUAUGAAGAAGAGUGCAAAGUUCUUGUAGACUAUGAAGAGCAAAAGGUUCUAUGCAAUUGUGGGCAAUUUGAAAGAGUUGGUAUAUUGUGUAGUCAUGCUCUAAAAGCCCUUGACGUCAUGAAUAUUAAAUAUCUUCCAGGCCACUAUAUUUUGAAGCGAUGGACUCGAGAAGCACGAAGUGGAACUAUUCAAAACAGUCAUGGAAACAUUGUUUUGGAAGACCCUAGAUCGGAAGAUAGGCAACAGUUGAAGUUUUUCAUGCACGAUUUCCAUGGCAUAGCUUCCCAAGCAGUUGAAUCAAAAGAGUGCAUCAAACUAGUAGAUGAUGCUUUGAGGAUUCUUAGGAAGCAAGUUGAAGAAAAAGCUCCUACUACUACAUGCACAACUGAAGAUAUAUCUAAAGAACCUGAGGAUUGUCUACAGGCCGCUUGCCUAAAGAAAAAAGAAAUUCCGAAGAAGAAUUCGAGACGAAAGAAAUCAUGGCUUGACAACCAGCACCCCAAUAAAAAGAAGAAGGAGACAAAUACAGUUGUACCAAAAAAUCAAACUCAUCCGGUAAAUGUCUUACACCUAUCUAAUGAGAGUACUUGCUAA